rnacentral:rRNA from 1 species
ACAAUGAAGAGUUUGAUCCUGGCUCAGGAUGAACGCUAGCGACAGGCUUAACACAUGCAAGUCGAGGGGCAGCAUGUUUGUAGCAAUACAAAUGAUGGCGACCGGCGGACGGGUGAGUAACGCGUAUGCAAUCUACCUCAUACUAAGGGAUAGGCCAUGGAAACGUGGAUUAAUACCUUAUAAUAUUAUAUAAGAUCCUUUUUUUAUAAUUAAAGAUUUAUCGGUAUGAGUUGAGCAUGCGUCCCAUUAGGUAGUUGGUAAGGUAACGGCUUACCAAGCCGAUGAUGGGUAGGGGUUCUGAGAGGAAGGUCCCCC